rnacentral:rRNA from 1 species
CGGGGGGAGCAAGCGUUGUUCGGAUUUACUGGGCGUAAAGGGCGCGUAGGCGGCGCAACAAGUCACUUGUGAAAUCUCCGGGCUUAACCCGGAGCGGCCAAGUGAUACUGUCGUGCUAGAGUGCGGAAGGGGCUACUGGAAUUCUCGGUGUAGCGGUGAAAUGCGUAGAUAUCGAGAGGAACACCUGCGGCGAAGGCGGGUAGCUGGGCCGACACUGACGCUGAGGCGCGAAAGCCAGGGGAGCGAACGGGAUUAGAUACCCCGGUAGUCCUGGCCUUAAACGAUGGAUGCUUGGUGUCCGGGGUUACAUAGUCCCCGGGUGCCGGCGCUAACGCAUUAAGCAUCCCGCCUGGGGAGUACGGCCGCAAGGUUG